CACGGGGGGAGCAAGCGUUGUUCGGAUUCAUUGGGCGUAAAGAGCUCGUAGGCGGCUCUGUAAGUCGGGGGUGAAAGACCACGGCUCAACCGUGGAACCGCCCUCGAAACUGUGGAGCUUGAGGCCGGGAGAGGAGAUCGGAAUUCCUGGUGUAGCGGUGAAAUGCGUAGAUAUCAGGAGGAACACCGGUGGCGAAGGCGGAUCUCUGGACCGGUUCUGACGCUCAGGAGCGAAAGCCAGGGGAGCAAAC
rnacentral:rRNA from 1 species